GAUUAACGCUGGCGGCGUGCAUGAAACAUGCAAGUCGAGCGCGGUACGCAGCUUGCUGUGUAUCUAGCGGCGCACGGGUGAGUAACACGUGAGCAACCUACCUUUGAGUUCGGGAUAGCCCUGAGAAAUCAGGAUUAAUACCGGAUGUGGUUGCAGAGAGACAUCUCUUUGUAAGUAAAGGCGCAAGCCGCUCAAUGAUGGGGCNCGCGGCUUAUUAGCUUGUUGGUGGGGUAAUGGCCUACCAAGGCGAUGAUGGGUAGCUGGUCUGAGAGGACGGUCAGCCACACUGGGACUGAGACACGGCCCAGACUCCUACGGGAGGCAGCAGUUAGGAAUUUUCCGCAAUGGGCGAAAGCCUGACGGAGCAACGCCGCGUGAGUGAUGAAGGCCCUCGGGUUGUAAAGCUCUGUCGGA
rnacentral:rRNA from 1 species